GGCGUAUAUGUUUUUGUUCUUUUGCUUGACAGCGAUACCCAACUAAAAAAGUUGGUCCAUAACAUACAUGAGGUGUGGAAAUGAACGUGAUACCACGUGGGAUGGGAGUGGUUAUUUCAUUAAUAUGGGACUGUGAUUGUGCUUGAACAGAACAUGAUUCGUCCCAAAGAUGAAGAUUUUUUAAGCUCUAAAGAUAGAUUUAACAAAAAAUACACUUACAAAGAUUAAGAUUUAAAGAAAGAUGACGCAAAGACAGAUCAGUGUUCGAAUCCAAACAAUUUUUUACAAGUGAAAUCAGAACCAUUAAACACGUUAUACAUUUUGUCUUCUUUCUUUUGCAUGUGCAUGCGUAACCUUUAAACAUUUGAUUCUUAUCCUAAUUAAAAUAGGAACAAACCUUUAAAUUCACUUCUUCUUUUGUUAUCAAUCAAAAUGUCACCUAAAUUAAUAAUAAAAUAGAUUAAUUUUAUUUAAAAAAAUCUAAAAUAAUUAAAAAAAAAAUAAUAACGCCAAUUUUAAUGAUGCUAACGCUACUCACAAAACCCUAAACUUUAAAUCUAAACCCUAAAUUCUAAACUCAAACUCUAAACCCUAAACUCAAAUCCUAAACCCUAAACCCAAACCGUAAACCCUAAACCCAAGCUCUAUAUCCCAAACCUAAAUCCUAAACCCUAAAUCCAAACCGUAAACCCUAAACCCAAACCCUAUAUCCUAAACC
rnacentral:lncRNA from 1 species